AUGCAAUGUAAUGUCCCAGACCAUCUUUAGUCAAGCUUUCCUUGAAAGCGAUGACUCCUCUCAAAGAGAAUGUCUUUCCUUGGAGAGCCACAAUGGGGGGAAAUUCACUCAAAGGAAACUGAGUUGUGUUUGCAAGUGGGCGAAGGCAGGGAGACUCCGGAAGGAAGAGUCCAUUUUCCACUGAAAUGUCAAGCUGAGCCAUGCCACAGUCCAUCAGCACAGAAAUGUCAGGAGAAACAAAUGUGGCUGAGCUUGCUGUGAGGUUGGUGCUUUUGAAGAGGGGGACCAUUACUCCUGUCCAAAGUGCCGCGUAGGUCAGUCUGGAUCUCGUCAAAAGAAUCCACUUGAUGCAUUUCAUUUGGAUCUUCAGCUGGAAUGAUGAUGGAGUCUUCUGUGAUCUGGGUUUUUAGAUAUUUUUUGCACAUCUCUGAUUCGAGAGGGACUCCAGAACUAUCAUCACCCUCUGCCUCACUGAGGGCCACAACAGUG